rnacentral:rRNA from 1 species
UACGUAGGCAGCGAGCGUUGUUCGGAAUUACUGGGCGUAAAGCGAGUGUAGGCGGUCUGCUAAGUCGGAUGUGAAAGCCCCGGGCUCAACCCGGGAAGUGCACUCGAAACUGGCAGGCUAGAGUAUCGGAGAGGUUGGUGGAAUUCUCGGUGUAGAGGUGAGAUUCGUAGAUAUCGAGAGGAACACCGGUGGCGAAGGCGGCCAACUGGACGAAUACUGACGCUGAGACUCGAAAGCGUGGGGAGCAAACAGG